AUGAGACAUGUGGUUUUCCUGUGAACAAGCACCACAUCUACAUUUCUAUUGAAACAUUUAUUCUUGUCCCAGUCACUGCCACCAUCUUCUGUGAAGUCAGACUAACAGUAUGUAUGUAGCUGUCUAAAAAAUGACAUUGUUCAUCCCUGAUAUGGCUGGUUGUCUGUUUUUGCUCAUCCUCCUUUUCGAUACCUUCCAGUACAUCAAAGCCAAAGAUCUUCCUCAGCCCAGUCUGACAGUGAUUCCUGCAGUCAUCAAAGAGAGAGACUCAGUUCAGCUGAACUGUCAGACUCCUCCAUCUGUCUCUGAGUGUUACUUCAUAAUGGAAGGGCAAGUGGAAUUCACCCUACCAUCACCCUGUCAACAGACACUCACAGGAACACUACUGGUGAGGUGGACAGGUCAGAGUUCACCAGCUGAGGUCAAAAUACACUGUCAGUACAGUGCUACAGGUUCACAGUUUAGAUCCAUAUACAGUGAGCCUUCAACAGUCACAAUUCAGGGUAAUAAGACUAUUUGAAUGGUUGUUAACAAUGUACUGUUGUGCCAUCAUUACCAUGUUCCUCUUGUGAUAUGUUAUCAUACUGUGUGUUGUUAUAAACUAUUACAU
ensembl:lncRNA